CCCCACACACACUACAGGUUCAACAUAACGGGAGUGUAACCUUUACUAUCUAAGCUUUGUUUUGUCAUUUAAAGCAGCUACAUAAUACGGCCUUGAUUAUGCAAAUUUACACUUUAAUUUCUUUGAAAAAUCCGUGCAUUAAAUUGAAUCAAGUCUAUCAAACAGGAGGCAUCUUGUUUCUGCUGUGUGAAAAUAUAUCAGCGCUGCCCCCAACAGUUGUGGAGAGGAACUGCACGUGCUGUGCCUGACCGCUUUUCCAUUGGCCACAGAGUCACGCAAAUCGGAACAGAAACAUGACAAUUAUUGAUACUUUUUUUGCACUGGCCUUAUCGAAAUGUUCAAAACAAAGCUUUUUUUUCGCAUUGCACCAGUCACGUGAUCAAUAACCGGAUGUCAAUACUGACGGAAAAGAAGCAGCGGAGAACAACAGGAAGUGGUCGGAGGACAAUGGCCUGCGACAGACUGGCGUCCUGUCCAGGGUGUGCCCCGCCUCUCGCCCGGAACGCAGCUGGAGAUAGGCACCAGCACCUCCCAACCCCGUUAGGGAGAAGGGUGCUCAGAAAAUGGAUGGACGGAUGGAUUUAAUGGAAACGCAGCAAUUUCAAAAUUGUGUUUCUUCCAACGUCAGCGGAAUGUAGAAAACAUUUCACCAACAUUUCCAAUUCUGAUUUAGCUACAGUAGAAAUAAAUUGUGUAAAACACAA